rnacentral:lncRNA from 1 species
GUGCACCUGGAGCCCACUCCACCUGAUGCCUCCACAGCCCUCACAGGGUCUGACCUCCCAGCAUGCACCUGCCUCUCCCUGCACCCCAGCUGUCCACCCUACCUGUUCCCUGACUUCCUCCAUCCUGUCCAGCAGGAUGGGAUGGACAUGGGGACAGCCUGUUUGCACAUUUCGUGGCGAGUGGGAGUGACACACCAUCUCUGGGAGGCACCAUGCUUCCUGCCAAACCCGAUCCCAAGACUCUGUCCUUGAGGUGGUUUUACCAAACCCCAAACCCAGAACUGCGGUUGUGGCUCAGGGGUCAGCUCCUGCUAGUGCCAGGACACUACUGGGAGGCUGGGACCUGACCAAAGCCCAUGGUGUCUCUGGCCUGAGGACAAGGUGUCUUGGGACCAUAAGGCCAGGCCACCAAUGGCCAUUGGGUCAUAGGGGCUUAGCCCCAAUGUUUGUCCUACCCUGACUCCUUCUGGUUCAGUCCCAUCAGGGCCCUGGAUCCCAAGACUCAGCAUCCAAGGUCCCCUCCAGGAAUCCUGGCAGCUCAGCAUGCUUUAUCCCAUUUCAUCUGAGAGCAAAAAUGUAAAAUUGUAUGCACAGAAAAGUGACUCAAAGUGCUUAAUGACUAGAAGAAAUCUAGGAGCAGCAAGAAGGUAAUGUGGAGGGAGGGACCUCCAUGACCGGUGUCUGCAGAGCCAGGGGUACAGGCACCCAGUGCUGUGGCCUGGCACCACCGGCCUCUCAGAGGGUGGGUGGCACACUCCUUACCCACAGGACAGCAGGCCUGGUCACCAGCUUUUCUACCUGUCUGUGUAGGCAUCACAUUGCUGGAGGAAAAUCUCAUGCCAGAGCUUGGACCAUCCCUAGCUCAGGGGUUAAGGGUUGUCCCUUGGUGACCUAAAUGAAAAAACAGGUCCAGAACAGAGUUCCUGAUGCUGGACACUCAUUCAGUCUUUGAAUCGUGGGAUGGGAGGCCUGGUACUAGGUAGACCUAACCUCUUUGAGGAACCACAGAGCCCAAGGCUGGAAACCUCCAGAAUCCUCCACCCCCUGAUCCUCCCUGGGGACCCCUGUGGCCUAUCUCACUGAGCACUCUUCCAUCUGUAGAUGUCUGGGUUGCUGUACAAGGGAGUCCCCUUUCAGGUGUGGUGCUAGACAUGGUCACUCCUGCUGGAUGUCUAGAUGGUAGAAACCAAGGACCUAGGGAAAUAGCAGGUACAGCCUUUCCACGCUCAUCCAGAGCAGGACAAACAGGCCAGGCAGGGUCAGGAGCCCAGGUCUCCAGCUGGAGGGAACUUCAACCCUGCAGUGGGAGCAGGGGCCCUUUGCACAUCCUAGGCACAGAUGGUAAUGUAGACACCACAGGUAAGCUGGGCUUUGUACCUACCCCUCCCCGGAUUCAAAGAAGCCAAACAAGGAGCUUUGUGCAGAAUGAAACCUCCUUUCCUCCCAGAAGCACUGCUGACUGUUUGGUCGUUGCCAUUUGUGGCAGUGAGCCUUUGUUUGUUCUGAGGUUGGGCUGGUUUCUCCUCUUGGCCCUGCCCUACAGAUCAAAAAGGAGAACAGCAAGAGGUCCCCAGCAAACAUCCACAGAUGGCCUUGGAAAUAAGUCACCUUGUGAGAAACAUGUCAUGUUCUGGGAGGGAUAAGGCAUCAACCUCACCCUGCAGGAAUGCCAGUGAACAUAUUGCUGACAUCUUGGAGCUCAGUACCCUCAUAGUGUAACGGCGUCAGCAGAUCUGCCUGUGCUUGGACUUCCUGUACUACCCAUUCCUGAGGGGCGAUGCUUCUGCAGGGCCUGUGACUUGGUGCACAACUUCAGACACCAUCAUCUUGCAGCAGCACCGCACCCUCACUAGCCAGGGUGUUGAUGACUUCCUCAAGGCCAGGGCCACGUUCAAGGCUUCAGACUUCAUUGAUGCACUUGUGCUGAGCAAGGUGGCUUCUCCGGGAUCUUAAUUCAGGAGGUAGAAUGGAGCUUGAGAUCAAGCGUCUGAUCAAGCCUCAGUGUAUGGGCACUGUUCAUCCUCUGGUGCUGAAGCAGCCAAAAGACACAAGUCUGCCUGGCUGCCUCUUAGGAUAUGACAGCAGAGCCAGUGGCCUCUACUAGAUCCUGUACAACCUCACAAAACACCCAGACGUUGGGAGUGCUGCCAGCCUGUGAUGCAAGAGUCCUGAUCCUGAAGACAUUAAAUGACCUGUCAUUGUGCUGUUUUUACCAAAAAGGAUCAUGAGGAUCAGAGAGGAAAAGUCACUUGCCCAAAGUCACACAGCUGAACAGUGGUGGAGUUCAACUUUGACCGUGGGCUGUCUGGCUCCAAGGUGUAUGCUUGCUUCUCUCCCAAGAGACUCCUUUCUUAUCAGCCUCAAAUGAAUGAAUGAAUGGAGGAUGUUAAAGACAACGCCAUUAUUGACGAGAUCACUCCCAAGUGGAUUAGAAAUCUCCAAUACUUAGACCUAUAGCAAGGCCUUGGGAGAAAUGGUGGUGCAGCAGGAGAGCAGGAACCUAACCAUUGCCAUCCUAAGGCCCUCCAUUGUGCGGAGCAACGUGGCACCAGCUUUUCCUGGUAAGCCCACUUACCUGGAUUCUGUGUUUUGCUUUCAAACUAAGGUUCUUCUAGCCCAAUUAUUUUCUGAUGUCUUUCUUCUUCUUCUCCUCGGGAUUUAUAGCUAAGUGCAGCCAAUCAAAUAUUAACCCAUUAUACUAGGGCAAAAUUCCACUUUGGGAUCAUGCGGCUCUUCUGGCAGUUACCCUAUCUUAGAGUUGGAUGGAGAUCUUAAAUUAGGUUCUAACUACUCUAGUCUCAAAAUUCCCAUGGGUGAUGUUUUCAUAGCUUCGCUUUCCCACUGUAGCUUAAACAUACCAGAAUGUUCUUGAUGGCCAAAUUGGUAGUAUUACAACUAACUGCCAGGGUUACAAAGCUCACAGAAGGAUCUCAGUUUGGGAAUACUAAUUUUUUUUAACCUCAGUAUACUGCUAUGUCCUUUUGAAAGUACUUUGAAUUAUACCAUCUUCUUCAAAGCAAGUCCGUGAAGCUUUGGGGGCAGAUACAUUCCAGCUCCACCACUUACUGGCAAUGCAACAUUUUUGAGUUGUUCUUUCCAUAGAACAGGACAGAUACUACUUUGGAGAGUUGGUUUAAUGAGACAAUGUAUGAGGAGUGCUCAGUCUCUAGUAAAAGGUAGAUCCCUACUAAAAGGCUCAACGAAUAUUAGUCCCUUCAUCUUCUCCUCCCGUAUAUCUGGUCUCCCAUUAUACACAUUUCAACUUUUAUACUGUAAGGUAAAGAGACGGCUUAGGGCUUAGGAAACAAACUCAAAAAGACAUUUCCCUCUAACUGCUCUUUAGCAUAAUCUUUCCUGUAACAUCUUUAAGCAAGUCAACACACAUUAUUACCAAUCAUGUUUUCAAUGUUCUCCUAAGGAGGCUAAAAUCAGGAAUGAGGUGAAGUAUGGUUGGUGAAUUGCUUAGCAGAUCAUGGUAUAAGGACAAGAUCCAUUGUAGCCCUUAAGUUGUCAUAAAACGCCACAAAACCAUUCAUGACUCCUGCUACGAACAACAAUCCUGGCCAAAUUUUAAUUCUUGCACAAACUGCAGAAAAU